CAGCAGCCGCGGGAAUACGGAGGGUGCAAGCGUUAAUCGGAAUUACUGGGCGUAAAGCGCAUGCAGGAGGUCUGUCAAGUCAGAUGUGAAAUCCCCGGGCUUAACCUGGGAACUGCAUUUGAAACUGGCAGGCUAGAGUCUUGUAGAGGGGGGUAGAAUUCCAGGUGUAGCGGUGAAAUGCGUAGAGAUCUGGAGGAAUACCGGUGGCGAAGGCGGCCCCCUGGACAAAGACUGACGCUCAGGUGCGAAAGCGUGGGGAGCAAACAGGAUUAGAUACCCCUGUAGUCCCUGUCUCUUAUAC
rnacentral:rRNA from 1 species